rnacentral:rRNA from 1 species
GUGACGGUACCUGCAGAAGAAGCACCGGCCAACUACGUGCCAGCAGCCGCGGUAAUACGUAGGGUGCGAGCGUUGUCCGGAAUUACUGGGCGUAAAGAGCUCGUAGGCGGUUUGUCGCGUCGUCUGUGAAAUUCUGCAGCUUAACUGCAGGCGUGCAGGCGAUACGGGCAGACUUGAGUACUACAGGGGAGACUGGAAUUCCUGGUGUAGCGGUGAAAUGCGCAGAUAUCAGGAGGAACACCGGUGGCGAAGGCGGGUCUCUGGGUAGUAACUGACGCUGAGGAGCGAAAGCGUGGGUAGCGAACAGGAUUAGAUACCCUGGUAGUCCACGCCGUAAACGGUGGGUACUAGGUGUGGGUUCCAUUUCACGGGAUCCGUGCCGUAGCUAACGCAUUAAGUACCCCGCCUGGGGAGUACGGCCGCAAGGCUAAAACUCAAAGGAAUUGACGGGGGCCCGCACAAGCGGCGGAGCAUGUGGAUUAAUUCGAUGCAACGCGAAGAACCUUACCUGGGUUUGACAUACACCAGACGC